UUAACGGUUCUUUACCUUUUGGGGAGGGGAGACAGCCCGGAGAAGGCUUCGGAGAGCCUGGAGUCGGCUUGCGAGCAGGGUUUCUUACUUGAGCCCCUCCACAAAUAAACGCUCCUUCGCUCCUCCGUCGCGUGCGUUUCCCUGGGAAAAUAAGUAGGAAAGUGGUGGCUUUUAUUUUUUUAAGACAGGAUCUCACCGCCGUCGCCCAGGCUGGAUGGAGUGCAGUGGGCGCGAUCACGGCUCACUGCAGCCUCGACCUCCCAGGCUCACAGAUGGGUUUCACCAUGUUUCCCAGCCUUGUCUCAAACUCCUGACCUCAAGUGACCUGUCUGUUUGGGUCUUCGAAAGUGCUGGGACUGCAGGAGUGGGUCACCACAUCCGGCCCGGGAAGUGUUUUGGAGGGUAGAAAACUGCAAAUUUUAGUGCUGCUUUCAAGGAUUCCGAAGGACGCACAGUUUUGCCGCAUCAGGCUCCUAUGAGCGCCGGUAAUUUGAUGUGUUGGGAUGCACUGCCUAGUGCGUCGUUUUUACUGGAGGAGCUUGUGUGCGGAGCUCCUUGCUAGUAUCAUGUGUAUGUGUUGGGAUGGGAGAGAAGUGCAGGAGAACUGUGAGAUGACGCCCCCUGAUCCUCAGGGUCUUAAGAGGUAUGGUCGGAGAGGCUAAGCUAAAGCAUGAAAGCCAUGUGUAGGCCCUUCUGUGUAGUGUAGAAAAGGGAGAGAGGUCUGUGGUUUCAAAGAAUAGGGAUGACAUGGAGGAUGCGACUCCUGGUUGGAUCUGUAAAGUAAUGUCUUUGGGACGAAAGCACGUGCAACCUUUUGAAAAUGGAUGGGUGAUAAUGGAAGACCAUUCCAGAGAAGAAACACCGUGGUGCAAAGGCUCAAGAGGCAUACUGAAAGUACAAUGAAGAGAUCAGUCUAACUGAAAUGGGAAAAAUAGAAACGAGAAAAAAAGUAAGAUUUCAUGAGAAAGAUG